UUUGAUAGCCCACUACACCCGCUAUCCGCCCGGGUACUACGAGCACUAGCUUAAAACCCAAAGGACUUGGCGGUGCUUUAGAUCCACCUAGAGGAGCCUGUUCUAGAACCGAUAACCCCCGUUAAACCUCACCCUCUCUUGUUCUUCCCGCCUAUAUACCGCCGUCGUCAGCUUACCCUAUGAAGGAGCCACAGUAAGCAGAACUAGCACAACUCAAAACGCCAGGUCGAGGUGUAGCAUAUGAGAGGGGAAGAAAUGGGCUACAUUCCCUACCACAGGGAAUACGAACAAUGUAAUGAAAUACGCAUUAGAAGGAGGAUUUAGCAGUAAGCAGAAAAUAGAGCG
rnacentral:rRNA from 1 species